UAGCACUAUAUGAGUUUGCAGUAACAAUUGUAGCUCUCCUUGAAAGAAGCUGACCAUGCAACUGUGUUGCAAGCUAAGCUUUUUUUCCAGCAACAAUAAUUGAAGUUCUGACGAGAAAAACAAAAAUCGUGAUACCUAAUUGCCUUAUGUAGUGAGUAAUGCGCUCAGGAAUCCCAUUUCUUAAGCGCUUGUUGGAGUGGACCAACCAAUAGCUCCACUAUUGUUCUGUGCUGUUGACUUGUUUGAUACAAGUAUUUUAUUUAUUUUUUAAUAAUUAGUUGCUUUACAGACGAGCGGACAGGUGAUCUGUGGCGACCCCAAAAACCGAAAGAAGUUGCUUUAUAGACACCUGUACUGAUUUCUGACAAUUUUGGCAAGUGUUAUACCAGGAAUAUGGAAACCCUCGUCUUUUGAAGACAGUAAAUUGAUAUAGAAUGAGUGUUCAGUGUACUUCAACCAGCUACCAGCUCACGGUGAUCUUGAGUCAACUGCAACAUAUGCACAGAACCUAUACUAUGCAUACCCAAGAACAGCUAGUACCAGUGCACACUUGAUACAUCUUGUGACAUCAUUAGCACCAGUAUAAUCGACGAGAAGCUGUGUUUUUCUUGUGCUUGGAUGAGUUGGAAGAUGGGAUCUUCACAUCAACAGACUAUGAACUUUUGGGAGGGAUUUGUUAUACUAUAGCAAUUUAGAGCAAGUCAUUCGCUACAUUUUCUGAACUGGUUAACCCAUUUUGAUCCUUGGAAAUCAGGUGUUACUCAAAAGUACUAAGACUUGUACAAUUGUUAUAGGAUUAGUAGCAGACCUAAAAUGUUUUACAUUCAAGCUCCUAGAUAAUUCGGUUUCCUUGCAUCCAGGAGUAGCAGUGUUCUGGAAUUCUCUUCUGAACAGAAGGGUUGGAAUCAAAUGCUCGAGUAAAAAGCAAAUUGUUUAUAACAGAAUUUAAAAAAGGCAUACUAUAAUCUGUUUUUUAGCACUCCCACUGUAUACUUUGUCAUUGAAUUUUUCUAUUGUCGGUUGUCAUGCCUGAAGUUACCCAGUUCACUGAAUAAAUAGGGGAACUGUAUAAUU